rnacentral:piRNA from 1 species
UCACCACAACCGAAUGAGCUAAGGAUUCUC